UGGUGAAUCAUGAUAACUUUUCGAAUCGCAUAGCUUUGCUGGCGAUGGUUCAUUCAAAUUUCUGCCCUAUCAACUUUCGAUGGUAGUAUAGAGGACUACCAUGGUGCGUAACGGGUAACGGAGAAUUAGGGUUCGAUUCCCGGAGAGGGAGCCUGAGAAACGGCUACCACAUCCAAGGAAGGCAGCAGGCGCGCAAAUUACCCAAUCCCGAUACGGGGAGGUAGUGACAAUAAAUAACAAUACAGAGCUUUUUAAGUUUUGUAAGUUGUAAUGAGAACAAUUUAAACCUCUUAACGAGAACCAAUUGGAGGGCAAGUCUGGUGCCAGCAGCCGCGGUAAUUCCAGCUCCAAUAGCGUAUAUUAAAGUUGUUGCAGUUAAAAAGCUCGUAGUUGAAUUUUGGACUUGGCUGGGCGGUCUACUCAUUGAGUAGCACUUCUCUGGCUGAGUCUUUCCUUCUGGAGAACUAUUGUGCUAUUCAUUUAGUGCGGUAGGGAACCAGGAACUUUUACUUUGAAAAAGUUAGAGUGUUAAAAGCAGGGCUUACGCUUGAAUACAUUAGGCAUGGGAAUAAUAAAAAUAGGACUUU
rnacentral:rRNA from 1 species